rnacentral:misc_RNA from 1 species
ACAAAAAGUGAUAAGAUUAUUAUAAUGAAAGUGUAUACUAACAUUAUAAUAGUUUUAUUCAUGUUCUAUAAACAAAUACCUUCACGUGGUAUAGAAUGAACAAUGUAUUGGAAUAGUACAUUGACUAAGAUUUGUAUAAAAAUUGAAAGUUUUUAGGAAUUGUCCGUGGUGCUAUGUGUAGGGAAUUAUAUUAGAAUAAUAUAAAAAACAUGAUGUAAAAUUUUUGUGGUAAAUAUUUUUAGCUACAAAAUUUCUGUUGUGUAAUUUUUAAGAUGAAUAAUAUAAAAUUAUAUAACUAAUAAACUCUUCAUAU